CACAAGCGGUGGAGCAUGUGGUUUAAUUCGAUGCAACGCGUAAGAACCUUUACCUGGUCUUGACAUCCACGGAAGUUUUCAGAGAUGAGAAUGUGCCUUCGGGAACCGUGAGACAGGUGCUGCAUGGCUGUCGUCAGCUCGUGUUGUGAAAUGUUGGGUUAAGUCCCGCAACGAGCGCAACCCUUAUCCUUUGUUGCCAGCGGUCCGGCCGGGAACUCAAAGGAGACUGCCAGUGAUAAACUGGAGGGAGGUGGGAUGACGUCAAGUCAUCAUGGCCCUUACGACCAGGGCUACACACGUGCUACAAUGGCGCAUACAAAGAGAAGCGACCUCGCGAGAGCAAGCGGACCUCAUAAAGUGCGUCGUAGUCCGGAUUGGAGUCUGCAACUCGACUCCAUGAAGUCGGAAUCGCUAGUAAUCGUGGAUCAGAAUGCCACGGUGAAUACGUUCCCGGGCCUU
rnacentral:rRNA from 1 species